GGUAAUGUCUGGGAAACUGCCUGAUGGAGGGGGAUAACUACUGGAAACGGUAGCUAAUACCGCAUAACGUCGCAAGACCAAAGAGGGGGACCUUCGGGCCUCUUGCCAUCGGAUGUGCCCAGAUGGGGUUAGCUAGUAGGUGGGGUAACGGCUCACCUAGGCGACGAUCCCUAGCUGGUCUGAGAGGAUGACCAGCCACACUGGAACUGAGACACGGUCCAG
rnacentral:rRNA from 1 species